GGGACCCUAGUAAAUUAAUUAUAUAGCCCUGUCAGAGCUAAGUUACAGAAAAAAGUCUGUGGGUCCCA
rnacentral:tRNA from 1 species